rnacentral:tRNA from 1 species
GCCGACGUGGCGAAACUGGCAGACGCGCGUGGUUUAGGACCACGUGUCCGCAAGGACUUGCAGGUUCGACUCCUGCCGUCGGCACCA